rnacentral:rRNA from 1 species
AAACUUGUUGCAGUUAAAAAGCUCGUAGUUGAAUUUCUGCGUUGCGUUUUUCUUGCUUUUUGCUUGACUUUCGCUUCGCUUUUUUGUUUUACUUUGAGAAAAUUAGAGUGUUUAUCGCAGACUUUUGUCUUGAAUACUUCAGCAUGGAAUAAUAGAGUAGGACCUUGGUUCUAUUUUGUUGGUUUUUGAGCCUUGGUAAUGGUUAAUAGGAACGGUUGGGGGCAUUCGUAUUUAACUGUCAGAGGUGAAAUUCUUAGAUUUGUUAAAGACAAACUACUGCGAAAG